rnacentral:rRNA from 1 species
GACAGAGGGUGCAACCGUUGUUCGGAAUUACUGGGCGUAAAGAGUGUGUAGGCGGUGCUCCAAGUCUGGUGGGAAAUCUCCCGGCUUAACUGGGAGGGUGCAUUAGAAACUGGAAUGCUAGAGGAUGGGAGAGGUAAGCGGAAUUCCUGGUGUAGCGGUGAAAUGCGUAGAUAUCAGGAGGAACACCUGUGGUGUAGACAGCUUACUGGACCAUUUCUGACGCUGAGACACGAAAGCGUGGGUAGCAAACAGG